UGCUUUUAUACGGGAAGAAACACCUCCACGUGUGGAGGCUUGACGGUACCGUAUGAAUAAGGAUCGGCUAACUCCGUGCCAGCAGCCGCGGUAAUACGGAGGAUCCAAGCGUUAUCCGGAAUCAUUGGGUUUAAAGGGUCCGUAGGCGGGUUAAUAAGUCAGUGGUGAAAGUCUGCAGCUCAACUGUAGAAUUGCCAUUGAUACUGUUAACCUUGAGUAAUUAUGAAGUGGUUAGAAUAUGUAGUGUAGCGGUGAAAUGCAUAGAUAUUACAUAGAAUACCGAUUGCGAAGGCAGAUCACUAAUAAUGUACUGACGCUGAUGGACGAAAGCGUAGGUAGCGAACAGGAUUAGAUACCCUGGUAGUCUACGCCGUAAACGAUGGUUACUAGCUGUUUGGACCGAUUGAGGUCUGAGUGGCUAAGCGAAAGUGAUAAGUAACCCACCUGGGGAGUACGUUCGCAAGAAUGAAACUCAAAGGAAUUGACGGGGGCCCGCACAAGCGGUGGAGCAUGUGGUUUAAUUCGAUGAUACGCGAGGAACCUUA
rnacentral:rRNA from 1 species